rnacentral:piRNA from 1 species
UGAAAAGGCCGUGUCGCUUGGCAGAUGUUC